CCUGCGGCCGCGGGGCUGCUGCCUGUGCUGUUGUGCUCGGCUCUGCUGACGCUCUUCGAGUUCUGGAGUCGGUUUCGGGCCCCCCAGGACAAGAAGGACAUUGAGGGGAUUCCAUGAUCCUGUGAAGGAUGUCUGCCCAGCACCAUCCAGCAACCUCCAGAAGUCACUGAGGCUGAACAACCGACCACAGCCUGGCAGGUCCCAUGGGAAUCACUACCAGGAGACACCACACCUCCUGCCAUACUUUGUCACUCCUUUCAUCAGGGAAGACAGCUGGACUCAUCAGGAAAGCUGCUGUGGAUUUUCCACCGGGCCGGGAUUUCAGCACAGGAGCUCCCUGAGAGAGGCAUUGGAUGGGGAUGAGUUGGGAGCAGCAGGAAAUGCCUCAGCCACAGCUUCUUCAUCACUCAGAUGUGAUUCAGAGCAGCAACAGCAGCAUUUCCACCCCGUGGCUCGGCUCACUCCUGGGCAGCAGCCGCGGUUUCAGGCUUUGAUGACAUCCACAUUUCACUUUCCCAGCACAGCCCGGCCCUGGGUGGGCCAGGAGCUACCAGUGACUCCAUUUAAAUGCCUAGUUCUGAGGCAGAGUUUGAAAUCAUAGAUCUCCCUCCAGAAACCUGAUCUGGAGUCCUGUAUCUCACUGCUGCUAUUGGACUCCCUCUAUGUUCCUGCAGGGCUGCAGCACAGGUUCCUGCAGGUGCAGGAGCACAGGGUAUUUAGGAUCAGUCGGUCUCAGCAGGAUCACACCAAAGCUCUGCUGAGUGCUUGCUGAGCUUUUCAUUUCCCAUCCAAAUUUCUGCCAUCCCUGUUCACCCACCAUCCACUCCCCACCCUCUCACCCCUCACUAACUGCUCCCGCCCAGCCCUCAGCUUGUCCUCCUGUGGUCUCGCCUCCAUGUUCAUCCUUGAUUUAUUUUCCCUCACUGUGUUGUAUCAGCUGCCCCGGACACUCUUGGAAAGAGACUUUUGGUGCCAAGUCUCCCUCAGCCCGAUUAGCCUCUCCAUGGGCACAGCAGUGAGGAAUGCAGGAUGGCUCCAUGCAUCCCCUCACCACGGGACCCUCCUGGGAGCCAGGGCCCUGCCAUACCUGAGCUGUGGCCCUGGGGCUGACUGCUGGUACAUCAAAGCUGUUAUUCCAGCACUCACGGUGCCAUGCUGGCCCACAUUGCCUGACUCCCCGUUGUCUCCUUCCUCUGCUCCCGUGCUUCACUCACGCCAUGGCACAGUGAUGAUGAAAACCACUGGCCACAUGAAAGCA